AACGAACGCUUGCGGCGCGCCUAAUACAUGCAAGUCGAACGAGAAAGGCCCUUCGGGGACGAGUAAAGUGGCGGACGGGUGAGGAACGCGUGGAUAACAUGCCCUUCAGCGGGGGAUAACUAUUCGAAAGGAUAGCUAAUACCGCAUAAGACUACGACUCCUGCGGGUAACGUAGUAAAAGACUUCGGUCACUGAAGGAUUGGUCCGCGUCCGAUUAGCUUGUUGGUGGGGUAAAAGCCUACCAAGGCUACGAUCGGUAGCUGGUCUCAGAGGAUGAUCAGCCACACUGGAACUGAGACACGGUCCAGACUCCUACGGGAGGCAGCAGUAGGGAAUAUUGCACAAUGGAGGAAACUCUGAUGCAGCGACGCCGCGUGAGCGAUGAAGGCCUUCGGGUUGUAAAGCUCUGUGAUAUGGGAAGAUAAUGACGGUACCAUAUCAGAAAGGACCGGCUAACUUCG
rnacentral:rRNA from 1 species